rnacentral:lncRNA from 1 species
UUUUAUUUAAUAUUUAAUAUUUAAUUUAUAAUUAUAAUUUGACACUCAACAGUAAACUACUACUCCCGGAAUCGUCUAGGGCAGAGACCUGCUUUCCCCUCUUCCUCUCCUUCGUCGUCUUCCAUCCCUCCCCUCUUUCACACACACACACACACACCGCACACACUGAAAGCUCUCCGGUAAUACAAAAUCUACUUUCCACAAACAGCAAACAAGACCAAUCAUUGCAACUCGCUAAUUUACUUUAUUAUGCCCCCUAGCAUGGCGACUGAAAAUUCCACAAACACUUCACGAGCUGAGGAACUCAAAGUCCAAGCGAAUGAAGCCUUCAAAGGUAGUAUUGCCAACCACUGUCAAAGUUUUCCCCGUUUGGUUUUCUUUCUAGUGCAACUGUUGGUUUAAUGGAAGACAGUUUUGUAAUUUUGUUUUUUCAUUUUUUUUUGUUUAGUAAUUCAUUGAUUGUUGCGUUUGCAGCGCAUAAAUACUCCCAAGCGAUUGAUUUGUAUACGCAAGCGAUAGAGUUGAAUAAUGAUAAUGCGGUUUACUGGGCUAACCGUGCGUUUGCGCACACUAAGUUGGAGGAGUAUGGGAGUGCUAUACAGNUUGUGAACGGCUAAAAAAAAUACGAAUCAGGAUAGCCGGGACCGAGGGAGUAUAAAAUAUUGAUACUCAGUAACCAAUUAGAAAAGGUUUUGUGUUAGCGCACAACGUGUGGACGGCACCGGCCCUAACAAAGCCAGAGUGACAGCUUGGAGAAGCAUUUGUAACAGGCUGCCAACAUGCGAAAACCUUCUCAAAAGGAAUGUCCUCAUCCCGGCCGAAGAACAGUGGUGCAAUGCGUGUGUGUGGAGGAAGGAAACAACUGAACAUUCUUUUCUCCAUUGUCCGAAAGUCGAUCGCGUGUGGGACAAAAUCAAUCAAUGGAUCGGAAUGAAAACGGCUAAACCACAAAAAGUCGAACAUCAUUUCAUGUCUUUCAUUGGAGGAGGAAGAGGUAAGAGAAACAAGAACUUCCUUAAAGCUCUUUGGAUCGGGACUGUUUGGCUGAUCUGGAAGUAUAGGAAUGAGAGUAGGUUUGAGAACAAGAAUUGGGAGGUGUCCAAUCUUGUUAAUGAGGUCAAAGGGAGGCUUUGGAGUUGGAACAAAAUCUUCCAUGUGGUCGAGUCCAAUGUUCCUUUUACCUUGUGGUGCUCUAACGAGUACGCACCACUUGUAUGAUGUUUUUGGUACUCCUGGUACCGUCCCAGUUUUUUAAUAGAUUUUUAAUUGAUCAAAAAAAAAAAGAAAAGGUUUUGUGUUUGGCUAGUUCGAUCACUAAUUGUUGAAUCCAAGUGGAACUAUCAAAUUUUGAAACGCACUCACAGAGUCACAGUUCACAAGUUUCAUGUUAGGUAGCUUUUGUUUUAAAUACUUUUCGCAUUGAAUACUGAUAUUUUUUUAGCAAAUUAUUGUACGAAUGCAAAAUGUGUGUGAAAUAAGCAAGGAUAGUUUUUCUGAGCAUUAAAUAUGAAAAUGACAGGUUAAAUUGAUAUGGUAUAAGAAUAUAAGCUUAAGUACUUCAGUGCUUGACGAUGUAUUUCAUGAUCAAAUAUUCAAACAAGUUCAUAUUCACUCAAUUUAUGCUUACAUAAAACAACAUUUGAUUUAUAAAAUAUGAUUUGUUUAUUAAAUUUCUAAGAUACAGUUAAUUCAUUGAUAAUUAGUAGUAGCAUUUUAUACGAACACAAUAGUAUUGCUUUUUCUAAAAUGGUUCGAGAAAUUGGACGAUAAAUUCUGCCUUUCCAUAAAUUUAAAUUUUUGACAUAUUUAUAGAAGUUAGAUAUAAUGCUUGAUUACCUUUUGUUUUUUGCUCUUUUAGCUGGGCGAUUAGCUUUAAAUGUGAAAAUUACACUUUUAGAUAUAUUUUUUCCAAUUAUUUUAUUACUAUCAUAGAUGUGGAUUUUGCAACUAGAAAUUCGCAGUCUAAUAUGCCUAUUCGGCUAAUCCCACCUGAAAAUAGGGAGGGCGUUAAUUUUUUAGAGGGUUUUGAGUUGAAAAGCAUUAGUAAUAAUUAAUAAAUGUAUGAAAAUAUGUUUUCAAAAUUCCACCUUUUGUCUCUUUUAUUGAUGAAUUGCGAUUUCCACUAUGCUUAUGUAUGAUUUUUUUUUUUCAUUGUAUACAAGAAAUAAUGGUUGCAAAUUUUCAUGAAAAAAGGUGUUUUGUUAGACACAAAAGUGUGUUGGGUUGAGUUUAUAAUAAAAAAAAAUAGUAUUGUUUUGUUAUUUUUAUCGUAUACCUUUCUUAUUUUGUGAUUAAUUAUUGUCAAUUAUAGUUUUUCAAAUUUAUUAAAACAUUUAACUUUACAAGUGCUUGAAACACACUCCAUAUAAUACAAUAUUGGAGGCUUGGAGAUUAUAAAAUACCUAAAAUAAGCUUAUAUAAAUAUUCUGACAACGAAAGCAGCUUAAUUGCUAAGAUGUUUUCCUCUAAUGAAUAAGUCGAAUGUUUGAAUCACCACGAGAGAAAUGAGAAAUCAUUAUUGAUUUUGUCGAAAAAAAAAAUCUUAUGUAAACACUACAUGGUCGAUCACUGUAUCAACAAAUUUAAGAUAUUAUGAGAAUUUUCCAAACACUAUAAAAUUUGCACUUACUCUAAAUUAUAAGCCCUAUUAAGUUUUUGAAUAUUAGAUUUUUAUGAAUGCCUCAUCUCGUUUUGAGUUUGGUUGGUGGGGGGUAUUAGGCUAUUUAUUUAUUUAAUAUUUAAUAUUUAAUAUUUAAUAUUUAAUUUAUAAUUAUAAUUUGACACUCAACAGUAAACUACUACUCCCGGAAUCGUCUAGGGCAGAGACCUGCUUUCCCCUCUUCCUCUCCUUCGUCGUCUUCCAUCCCUCCCCUCUUUCACACACACACACACACACACACCGCACACACUGAAAGCUCUCCGGUAAUACAAAAUCUACUUUCCACAAACAGCAAACAAGACCAAUCAUUGCAACUCGCUAAUUUACUUUAUUAUGCCCCCUAGCAUGGCGAC